rnacentral:rRNA from 1 species
GACGAACGCUGGCGGCGUGCUUAACGCAUGCAAGUCGAACGGAAAGGCUCCAGCUUGCUGGAGUACUCGAGUGGCGAACGGGUGAGUAACACGUGGGUGAUCUGCCCUGCACUUCGGGAUAAGCCUGGGAAACUGGGUCUAAUACCGGAUAGGACCGCACUUUGGUGUGUGUGGUGGAAAGGUUUUUCUGGUGUGGGAUGAGCUCGCGGCCUAUCAGUUUGUUGGUGGGGUAAUGGCCUACCAAGACGGCGACGGGUAGCCGGCCUGAGAGGGUGGACGGUCACAUUGGGACUGAGAUACGGCCCAGACUCCUACGGGAGGCAGCAGUGGGGAAUAUUGCACAAUGGGGGAAACCCUGAUGCAGCGACGCCGCGUGGGGGAUGAAGGCCUUCGGGUCGUAAACUCCUUUCGCUAGGGACGAAGCUUUUUGUGACGGUACCUGGAGAAGAAGCACCGGCUAACUACGUG